GGGAAUAUAGCUCAGUUGGUAGAGUGCUUGCUUUGCAUGCACCAGGCCCUGGGUUCAAUAUCCAGCAUCACCA
rnacentral:tRNA from 1 species